UUCCAAUCAAAAGGGAAGCAUUUUGGCUAAGAUCAAAUGUAGUUCUCUGUUUCUAUUAGCCUAAUAUCUGAUGCAUCUGCUUUAUAAGAACAAUUCAUUAAAUGGAAUUUUGGAGCUGGAAGUUAGAAUAGGAGCUUGCUCUAUACUCUUCAUGCAUUGCAGUCCCUCCAGGAAUUGCACCCGCC